AGCGGCGGACGGGUGAGUAACACGUGGGUAACCUGCCCAAGAGGCUGGGAUAACACCUGGAAACAGAUGCUAAUACCGGAUAACAACACUAGACGCAUGUCUAGAGUUUGAAAGAUGGUUCUGCUAUCACUCUUGGAUGGACCUGCGGUGCAUUAGCUAGUUGGUAAGGUAACGGCUUACCAAGGCAAUGAUGCAUAGCCGAGUUGAGAGACUGAUCGGCCACAUUGGGACUGAGACACGGCCCAAACUCCUACGGGAGGCAGCAGUAGGGAAUCUUCCACAAUGGACGAAAGUCUGAUGGAGCAACGCCGCGUGAGUGAAGAAGGGUUUCGGCUCGUAAAGCUCUGUUGGUAGUGAAGAAAGAUAGAGGUAGUAACUGGCCUUUAUUUGACGGUAAUUACUUAGAAAGUCACGGCUAACUACGUGCCUGCAGCCGCGGUAAUACGUAGGUGGCAAGCGUUGUCCGGAUUCAUUGGGCGUAAAGCGAGUGCAGGCGGUUCAAUAAGUCUGAUGUGAAAGCCUUCGGCUCAACCGGAGAAUUGCAUCAGAAACUGUUGAACUUGAGUGCAGAAGAGGAGAGUGGAACUCCAUGUGUAGCGGUGGAAUGCGUAGAUAUAUGGAAGAACACCAGUGGCGAAGGCGACUCUCUGGUCUGCAACUGACGCUGAGGCUCGAAAGCAUGGGUAGCGAACAGGAUUAGAUACCCUGGUAGUCCAUGCCGUAAACGAUGAGUGCUAAGUGU
rnacentral:rRNA from 1 species